rnacentral:rRNA from 1 species
AUGGUAGAUGUUGCAGAUGCCUCUAUCCUGGACACCGUGCAGCGGAGUGUUGAGAUCCUUUUAGGUGUUCUCGAUGCCUUGAGAAUGGUCAUCAAGCGUGUGGGUGCCGCAAUGCCUGGUGUCCCCUCAGCUUUUUGGGAAGCCCUACUUUGUCGCCAUUGCCCCGCCUCCCUGUCGGACACCAACAAGCUUCAGUUCCUCGUAAGGUCCAGAAAGAUGUCGUGCCCCUCUCGAAGACGUUUGGUCAUGAUUCUUGGGCAUCGAUCGUUGUUGCUCCUGUUGGCUUUGUGGCCUCGGCGAUAUCCCAGUGCGGCCUGCCUUGGAGAGGCAGGCCGAGCUGUUGCGCUCUGA